CACAUGCAAGUCGAACGAAGCUCCCGGACUUGAGUUUUCGGACAAGAUGAAGGGAUGACUUAGUGGCGGACGGGUGAGUAAUGCGUGAGCAACCUGCCCUUCAGAGGGGGACAACAGCUGGAAACGGCUGCUAAUACCGCAUAAUGUAUUCGGAAGGCAUCUUCUGAAUACCAAAGAUUUAUCGCUGAAGGAUGGGCUCACGUCUGAUUAGCUAGUUGGUGAGGUAAUGGCUCACCAAGGCUGUGAUACGUAGCCGACCUGAGAGGGUGAUCGGCCACACUGGAACUGAGACACGGUCCAGACUCCUACGGGAGGCAGCAGUAGGGAAUCUUCCACAAUGGGCGAAAGCCUGAUGGAGCAAUACCGCGUGAGUGAAGAAGGUCUUCGGAUCGUAAAGCUCUGUUGUUAGAGAAGAACAAGAGGUGUAGUAACUGGCACCUCCUUGACGGUAUCUAACCAGAAAGUCGCGGCUAACUACGUGCCAGCAGCCGCGGUAAUACGUAGGUGACAAGCGUUGUCCGGAUUUAUUGGGCGUAAAGCGAGCGCAGGCGGUCUUUAAGUCUGAUGUGAAAGCCCACGGCUCACCGUGGAGGGUCAUUGGAAACUGGAA
rnacentral:rRNA from 1 species